ACACGCAUGACACACUGCAUAUCAAUAAGCGGAGGAAAAGAAACUAACAAGGAUUCCCUUAGUAACGGCGAGUGAAGCGGGAAGAGCUCAAAUUCGAAAUCUUCAAGGUUCUACCUUGACGAAUUGUAGUUUAUAGAAGUGUUUUCUGUUAGUAGGAGUGGCAAAAGUUCUUUGGAAUAGGACAUCAUAGAGGGUGAGAAUCCCGUAUUUGGUCAUUCCUUCCUAGCGUUGUGAUACACUUUCAACGAGUCGGAUUGUUUGGGAAUGCAGUCCAAAAUGGGUGGUAAAUUUCAUCUAAAGCUAAAUAUUGGCGAGAGACCGAUAGCGAACAAGUACCGUGAGGGAAAGAUGAAAAGAACUUUGAAAAGAGAGUUAAACAGUACGUGAAAUUGUCAAAAGGGAAGCGUUUGACACCAGUGUUGUUUUUCCGAAAAUCAAUUACGAAUGUUUUGUUUUUGAGGAGUUAUGACUUCAUCGGCCUGCUUCUCUCUUUACGAAACUUUCUUAAUGCACUUUUCGGUUAACAAGUCAACAUCAAUUUCUUUUGUUGUAAAAGGGUAUGAGGAAGGUGGCUUUACUUUUCGGAGUAAAGUGUUUAUAGCCUUGUAGCCUCUGCAAUCGGAGAGAUUGAGGUCUGCAGCGUAGAUCCUUCGGGGUUAGAUACAGUUUGUGCUAAGUUAUAGCCUUUCAUAGACAACUUGUUGAUUAUGAUUAGUCAUUGUAGCUUACUCGCUUAUGUCUAUUUUACCUACGCUUAGGAUGUUGAGUAGCGACAUACGCAC
rnacentral:rRNA from 1 species